rnacentral:rRNA from 1 species
CCCUGUGAAGGUGAGCAAAUCCCAAAAAUAACGUCCCAGUUCGGAUUGUAGUCUGCAACCCGACUACAUGAAGCUGGAAUCGCUAGUAAUCGCGGAUCAGAAUGCCGCGGUGAAUACGUUCCCGGGUCUUGUACACACCGCCCGUCACACCAUGGGAGUCGGAAAUGCCCGAAGCCGGUGACUCAACCUUUAAGGAGAGAGCCGUCGAAGGCAGGUCUGAUAACUGGGGUGAAGUCGUAACAAGGUACC